UGAAGACCAUCUCCAGUACCGCUAUGAA
rnacentral:sRNA from 1 species